rnacentral:lncRNA from 1 species
UAUCCAUUAUUCUUCCGUCAAAGAUACUCAUCACUAAUUUAGAAGUUUUCAUGAAAGGUCUCCCCAAGAUUACUGGAAUCCUUUCAUCUGUGUUCAUAUCCGUGACAAUAAAAUCAACCAAGAAUUUAAGAUGUUCAAUCCGAACAACCACAUCUUCCACCAUACCAAUCGGCCUUGAAGAUGUUCCAUCUGCUACCAUCACCAUAAGAUUUGAUGGUUUAAUGUUAACCCUCCAAUUUUAUUCAGAUAGGAUAAAGGCAUCGUGUUAAUACUAGACCUAGAGUCUAGCAUGGCUCCCCCCACAUCCACAUCUUCAAUCACGCAUGGAAGAAUAAGACUUCCUGGGUCCUUCAUCUUUGGUGGAUGACGUCUCUUUCUAGGCUUUACAUGUAAUUCCUAUUCUUCUUCUUCUUCUAAAUUAAUCACCUCUCCAAGAUAGUAUUUUAUGCGCUUGGAGUAAACAGGAACCUGAGGAAGAGUUUCAAUUAAAGGAACAACAGUCACCUGGUUAAAAAUUUCCUUGAAUCGCCCACAGUGACUUCUUUUCUCAUUCUCUCUAUUUUUUUCAAUCCUCUUCUCAUCUUCUUCUUCUUCACUACUCUUAAUCUCCAUACUUUGACUCAUCUCCUCAUCUUCCUCCUCACCACUCUCCACCUUAAUAACUUCCUCUUUUGCUUUUCUCUUAGUCA